UCUGCUCUGAGAUAGCUGCCAUAGAGAAGAUCGGAGGACCUGGUUCCUAGAUAAUUCCGGAAGUGACAUCCUGAGUCACCUCUCCAUACCAUAGAGCUGGAAGGGGUUGCUGUCAGGGGUCCAGGAACUCCUCUGCCUAGAAAGGAAAGUUAGCAGUGACCAACUGGGAGAGGGACAAGAGCAUGUGGCUGGAUUGGAAGUGGCCACGAAGGUCACAUCUGGCUUGGUGUCCUCACCUCCUGACAUAGGGGUCUGAGUAUCUCCAGUGAUCCCUGCCAGCAUCCACGAGACAGGCAAGAGAAAGAGUGCUUUGUGAAGGCCCUGCAGCAGAAGACAGACACAGAAGUAGAACUUCACGAAGAAGCUUGAUCCCAGGGCCACUGGAGUCUGAGGACCAGGUUUAGGUUUAGGAUGGAGAGCCAUGAUAAUCCAGAAAAUAAUGAGAUAGAUGCCUGAAUUGAUGCCUGUGCCAGAUACCAUCUUCUUCAGCAAUGUGGUUUUACCCUUGACUUCCAGAAAGGAAGGAAGAGCAAUGGCAGCAGUCUUUAAUGAUUGGGGAGUAUGUAUGAGACUCAAUGAUGAGCAACCUCAAACAAGAAUCAUGCAGAGGUAGACAUGGUGUUGGAG